rnacentral:rRNA from 1 species
AUUGAACGCUGGCGGCAGGCCUAACACAUGCAAGUCGAGCGGUAGAGAGGUGCUUGCAUCUCUUGAGAGCGGCGGACGGGUGAGUAAUGCCUAGGAAUCUGCCUAGUGGUGGGGGAUAACGUUCGGAAACGGACGCUAAUACCGCAUACGUCCUACGGGAGAAAGCGGGGGAGUCUUCGGACCUCGCGCCAUUAGAUGAGCCUAGGUCGGAUUAGCUAGUUGGUGAGGUAAUGGCUCACCAAGGCGACGAUCCGUAACUGGUCUGAGAGGAUGAUCAGUCACACUGGAACUGAGACACGGUCCAGACUCCUACGGGAGGCAGCAGUGGGGAAUAUUGGACAAUGGGCGAAAGCCUGAUCCAGCCAUGCCGCGUGUGUGAAGAAGGUCUUCGGAUUGUAAAGCACCUUUAAGUUUAGGGAGGAAGGGUAGGUAACCUAAUACGUUGCUACUUUGUACGUUACCG